rnacentral:lncRNA from 1 species
AGCUGGAUGAUGGCCCAACACUCGAAGAGCAUCGAAGGAAGGAUCACAAGGGAGUCUGGUGCUGCAGUCGAGGAGCCUGGGACGUAAAAUGGGCUUGGAUUAGAGAAUUAGGCCCAACUUAACUCUGCCCCCAGACUUGUGUCUGCUCCUUCAAGACCUGGACAACUUCCAGACCACGAGAACAGAGUGUCUAACAGGAAUCCGGUAAUGCUGUUGUGGUCAUAGCUUAAUUGCUCUGAAGAGGUAACAGGAUCCAGGCAAUAUCAAAAGCAUGUGAGUGCCCUCUGAGCUCAGCACUGGUCCCCAGCUCUCCCUUUUGCUGUAUCCGUGCCCAGGAGCUUCACCAGCUGGAGACAGCAUUGGCAAGGAGAGCUUCCAAUAGGAUAUGAGCGCUGAUGCUUCUCAUCAAAACCCUGCGCCUGAGCCUGACGAUCGGAACCAUCAGAACGCAAGGAGGCAAAGGUCUGAUGGAUCAAAGGGGACCCACCGGUUUGAUGCUAACCUACUGGAGGAAGGGAGGUCGUCUCGUCCGCUCAGAGGGAGCCAUUAUGAUUCUCAUAUUAAAGUCAUGGAAACUGAGUCCCGGAGAGUUAAGGAACCUGCCCACGUCUACAGAGAUGAGGUUGAAACAGAACCCAAAGCAAGGGGGAAGUCACACGGAGGAGUGCAGCUGGGAGACCAUCGGCUAACACCUUGGUGAGCCUUUUUCUGUGUGCCCUCAGUCUUCUGAAAUCGUCCAUGCAUUUAACUCAGUCCACCCUCCCUUUCUAAAAGCUUUGUACUUUGUGAUAAAUCACUUCCAUGAAUACCAGUGGGAAGGAACAAAGGGGCCCUCAAACACACACCUACAGAAAUGUAGGUCCUUUUUUUUUUGGCCUCGCCUGUGCUAUGUGGAAGUUCCCAGGCCAGGGACCGAACCUGUGCCACAUCAGCGAUCCAAGCAGCUGCAAUGACAAUACCAGAUUCUUAACCCACAGUGCCACAAGAGAACUCUGGUGCAGUCUCCUUUGAAGGCAAUUUGGCAACAUCUAUUGAAAUUUAAAAUUCACAUUGUGUUUACACCCAGAAAUUCCACUUCUAAGUAUUAAACUGGACCAAGAAGUAUGUACAGAGAUAUUCAUGGUAGCAAGAUCCGUAAUAGCCAAGGAUUAGAAACAUCCUAAAUAUUUAUCAUUAGGAAUGCUAGGGGAAUGUUAAAAAAUAAAGCAAAUGGGGAGUUCCCA